rnacentral:lncRNA from 1 species
UAUAGGGGAUCUAUCUGUCACGCCCCGAGGCCGCCAAUUUGGUCGGUUCGGGCACGCCGACAGACGCCGAACGGACAGCACCUUCCCUGUUCGCCCAAGGCUCUAAUCAACAAGUAUAAUACAAGCAAUUCAACAAGAUGAAAGCAAUUAUACAAGACUUGCUCGAGGGCAAGCAACAACAAAAUCACAAGUGAAAGCAUCUAUGCUAUUACACUAAACCAUUCAACACAUGUCAUUUGAUUACAUUUGAAUCAAACACAAGUAAACCUUUCACUUACAUUAAUUCUUAUCCGUUCAUUUACAUCACAUUUUUCUUUAACCCAAAAUACAUAAUUUACAUCUUUUACACUUCUAAUUCAACCUACAAAAGUUGAAUAUGUACAU